UCCUAGAUUUCUUUCUUUCUCUUUUUCUUUCUCCUGUUCUCUCCCGUCUCUCUCCUUCCUUUUCUGGAUCCAAUCCAGGGCUUCUCUUAUGUUAUGCAAACAUUCUUCCAAUUAAUAUUCUAGGGUCAACUUUUAGCCUUUGGAUCACCAUGUUCCCACUUUAUGAACCAAAUUGAAAACAAUAGAAACCAAGAAAACACUUUGGAGAAGCGGUACUUAAUUAUUACUUGAAUGAGUUAUUUCCAAAUUAAGAAACAUAAGCCUGAACAAAAAAUAGAGUAAAUACUGCCUAGUCUAAACUUUUCUACCCCAACAGUGUUUUCCCCAUUUUUCUGAUUUGUUUUCCACUUGAUACAAUUAUGAGUUAUUUUUUUUUAAGAGUAAAGUCAGGGAUUCAAUAGCAGAAAGGAGGUGUUAUCCCUUACUCUUACGCUUCUUAGAAUAGCUCACUUUUGCUGAUAUGGUUAUAGUAAGAAUUAUUCUCAGUCAGCUUUCUCAAAUGAUAAAUAUUGUAUUAUUGUUCCAGUACUGUUCUUUAAAAAUAAAUUGAUAAAAUCCACUACAUCAGUAAAAAUGCCACUUAGAAUUAUAUUUGUUCUUUAUUUUAAAUUUGUGGGACAACUUUCAUGGGGAAAUGGGACAAGUCAAGUCAUCAUCUACUUCCCUGUUGAACACAAGCCAGACAGGGCCAAGUUGUGGUUGAGAGAAAAAGACUCAGGGAUACCAUGCGCUUCUGAAAACAGUGUCCAACGAAGGAACUGCAUUAAAGUAUUACAAAGCAUGCAGCGAUGCUGUGCUCAGAAUUCAGGGAGUCAGAGCCAACAGAAAUAAGAAAGUGAGAGAACAGUAUUCCAGAAAAGCUCACCCUUCCCUAUUACAAAAAGUGAUCCAAAGCACAAAACAUAAUAUUCAUUUCAAUGUAUUUAACCUAAUUGUAAAAACAACGUGGUCCAAGAAUCAAUUCACAUAAACAUCUUAAUUUCCUCAUCAGAUGGAUGCAUGUGUUAGACUCUAGGAUACCUUAUAGAUAACACAACAAAAGAUUGUCUUUCUCUGUUCUGAGGAGACCACAGCAUAGGAGGAUAUACAGAUAUUGAAAUGCACUGUCUGAAAGGUCAUAUAUAGCAGUUUGCUUUGGAAGGCAGGUGCCCGAAGGUGCUAUGAAAUCCUUUCAGUUUCAAGCUCCGGUUUGCCAUCACAGAGCAGGAGUGAAGACAUGAGAAAUAAUAGUUAGUUCUACCCUGCUACUCGAAGGCUAGAAUUUGGCAAUGCGCCGUGUAUCAACGAAUGACUUUAAACUUCAAAAUCCCCUUCGAGGGAGGUUACUAUGAUUGUCUCUAUUGAGAAGACAAGGAAAGUGAAGUGUAAUGCUUCAGAGCGAGUGAGAGAUGAAACCAAUGACGUAUUCCAGGCAGCCUGGUCUUAGCAUCGAAGCGAUCACCUACUGCCACAUUCUGAACCUUUCCUUCACAUUUUGGAGCUUGCAGCAGAGGACAACAGCGAAAAUGGAAGGGAAUGGACAGAAGUUUAGACGUUAAGUAAGAAAACUCACUUACUGGACUCUCAAGCAGCAGCAGAUGAUUCCAAAUGGGACUCCUGCCUCUGUGUAUUCUUCCUGAAUGAGUGCAAAGAAAACACUCCAAAAGCGACCUGGGCUCUGUCAAAGCACAGGUGUUUGCUGCAUGAUACAGUCAACUACCUUUGUAUGUACUUCUCUGGCUUAUGAGCUUCUCUUUUGCUUUAAAAUGAUUAUAUACUAGGAAGUUCUUUUAUUCUAUAGACAGACAAAUAAAAAAUCAUCAUAAAGAGGGUAUUAAUAGGUCUGAUAUAUUAUUCACUGUGACAGAAAAAUACCCCAAAAGGCCACCAGAGUAGAUUCUCCCAACUGUGAAUAAUAUUUUUUAUUAUAAGUUAAGAUAGGAAAUAUUUUCUAGAGGUUGCACAGACAGACUAAGCCACCGAAAUAACAUUAUUUCAGAUAAAUGAUCAAUCCCUCUAUGGUCCCUGUGGCUUAUUUUAACAGAGCUUUCAGUGGGGGGUAUGCCAGAAACUCUGUGAUGCAUGUAAUAGAAUCAAGAGCUCCAUUACGAACCCAAAUUGCAAGCACCUCUGCAUCUCUCUGGGCUCACUUUUUUGAGAACGAUAUACAGCCCUAACGUCCCAAAUAAUCUGCUGUUGCUCACACAAUUAUUAGAACACAUAAUUGAAGUUAAAUUUCAUAUAUUGAGCUGACCUGUCCAAUAACUUCAGUUUUAGAACCUGAUGUAUCAUCUGAAGGGGUGACCCAAGUUUGAAAAUAAUCAGUCCAAAGAUACCUCUAUGCAUAGUGACUAAG